GGUGUGGCUGCCUGUUCGACACUGUGUGGCAGCUGCUGAAACUGCAAAACAUCAGGCUAAGUGUAACAUCUGCAAAGAGUACCCACUCGUAGGUUUCAGACAACAUCAGGUGAAGAUGUGCGUGAUUUCACCAAGGUGCUGAAAAAUAAGUUCAGAUCAAAGAAAUACUUGGCCAAGCAUCCUCGUUUGGGUUAUUUCCCAGUACAAACAGUCCUAGAAGGACACAAUCAUCGCCUUGGAAGCUUCAUCACGAUACUACUUUGCAUUUCUGAAGAGGGAAGAAGAAAUCAACAUGCAAAUUCAAUUCCAUGGUUUUGGAAGUCCCUUUGAGAACACGAUUCAUUUGCGCCGGCAUAAUGCU